UACGUAGGAGGCGAGCGUUGUCCGGAGUUACUGGGCGUAAAGCGCACGCAGGCGGUCUUGUUAGUCUCAGGUGACAGUCCUCGGCUUAACUGAGGAAGUGUCUGGGAAACUGCAAGACUUGAGGGCUUCAGAGGGACAUGGAAUUCCGGGUGGAGUGGUGAAAUGCGUAGAGAUCCGGAGGAACACCGAAGGCGAAGGCAGUGUCCUGGCGAGUGACUGACGCUGAGGUGCGAAAGCCAGGGGAGCGAACGGG
rnacentral:rRNA from 1 species